rnacentral:rRNA from 1 species
GUUUGAUUCUGGCUCAGGAUGAACGCUGGCGGCGUGCUUAACACAUGCAAGUCGAACGAAGCGUCCCGCCCGAUGAAGUGGAGUGCUUGCACAAAGCAGAAUCAAUUGGGAUGACUUAGUGGCGGACGGGUGAGUAACGCGUGGGUAACCUGCCUUACACAGGGGGACAACAGUUGGAAACGACUGCUAAUACCGCAUAACCCCGCUAGUACCGCAUGGUACAGACGGAAAAGAUUUAUCGGGUGUAAGAUGGACCCGCGUCUGAUUAGCUAGUUGGUGAGGUAACGGCUCACCAAGGCGACGAUCAGUAGCCGGCCUGAGAGGGUGAACGGCCACAUUGGGACUGAGACACGGCCCAAACUCCUACGGGAGGCAGCAGUGGGGAAUAUUGGACAAUGGGGGAAACCCUGAUCCAAGCGACGCCGCGUGAGUGAAGAAGUAUUUCGGUAUGUAAAGCUCUAUCAGCAGGGAAGAAAAUGACGGUACCUGACUAAGAAGCCCCGGCUAACUACGUGCCAGCAGCUGC